GUUUCCGUAGGUGACCUGCGGAAGGAUCAUUAUUGAAUUGUAAACAGGGAAGAGGGCUGAUGCUGGCCUCUCAGAGGCAUGUGCACGCUCGAUCUCUGACAUCCUUUCACACCUGUGCACCGACGCAUGAUCGAACAUCUCCCUCUCUGGGAGCCGGUCAUGUCUUUUCACAAACCCUUUGCAUGUCUUUACAGAAGGUGAUCUUCUUCACCACGUGUUGUGUACAUAUCAGCAUGUGUUAAUACAACUUUCAACAACGGAUCUCUUGGCUCUCGCAUCGAUGAAGAACGCAGCGAAAUGCGAUAAGUAAUGUGAAUUGCAGAUUUUCAGUGAAUCAUCGAAUCUUUGAACGCACCUUGCGCUCCUUGGCAUUCCGAGGAGCAUGCCUGUUUGAGUGUCAUUAUAACCUCAACCACUCUCCCUUUUUAAAGGGGGGCAGUGUGUUGGAAUUGGGGCGUGCCGAUGGCUUCUGCCUUAUUCUGGCUCCCCUUCAAAAUCAUUAGCUGGGCCUUCCCUUGGGUCUUGUGGUGUGAUAAGAAAGCGCCGUGAACCUUGGGCAACCUGUGCCUGCUUCCAAUCUGGUCUUGCCUUUGCUGGUGGGACAGUUGUGAAACCUUGACCUC
rnacentral:rRNA from 1 species